rnacentral:rRNA from 1 species
UACGAAGGGGGCGAGCGUUGUUCGGAAUCACUGGGCGUAAAGGGCGCGUAGGCGGCCCCUCUUAGUCGCGUGUGAAAGCCCCGGGCUCAACCUGGGAACGGCGCGCCGAAACGGGAGGGCUGGAGUUCGGGAGAGGAGAGUGGAAUUCCCAGUGUAGAGGUGAAAGUUCGUAUGAUAUUGGGGAAGAACACCGGUGGCGAAGGCGGCUCUCUCGG